AACGAACGCUGGCGGCGUGCCUAACACAUGCAAGUCGCGCGAGAAAAGGGGGGCAACUCCCUGAGUAAAGCGGCGAACGGGUGAGUAACACGUAGGUAAUCUACCCUCGAGUCCAGGAUAACCUACCGAAAGGUGGGCUAAUACCGGAUAUGACCACGGGAGUCCCGGCUCCUGCGGUGAGAGGUGGCCUCUGCUUGCAAGCUACCGCUCGAAGGUGGGCCUGCGCGCCAUUAGCUAGUUGGCGGGGUAACGGCCCACCAAGGCGAUGAUGGCUAGCUGGUCUGAGAGGAUGGCCAGCCACACUGGGACUGAAACACGGCCCAGACUCCUACGGGAGGCAGCAGUGGGGGAUAUUGCGCAAUGGGCGAAAGCCUGACGCAGCGACGCCGCGUGGGUGAUGAAGGCCUUCGGGUCGUAAAGCCCUGUCGAGGGGGAAGAAACGAUCCCGACCCAACACGUCGGGGUCCUGACGGUACCCAUAAAGGAAGCACCGGCUAACUCCGUGCCAGCAGCCGCAGUAACAC
rnacentral:rRNA from 1 species